CCUACGGGCGGCUGCAGUGGGGAAUAUUGGACAAUGGGGGGAACCCUGAUCCAGCCAUGCCGCGUGUGUGAAGAAGGCCCUCGGGUUGUAAAACACUUUCAGUGAGGAAGAACGCCUGGUGGUUAAUACCCAUCAGGAAAGACAUCACUCACAGAAGAAGCACCGGCUAACUCCGUGCCAGCAGCCGCGGUAAUACGGAGGGUGCGAGCGUUAAUCGGAAUUACUGGGCGUAAAGCGCGCGUAGGUGGCUUGAUAAGCCGGUUGUGAAAGCCCCGGGCUCAACCUGGGAACGGCAUCCGGAACUGUCAAGCUAGAGUGCAGGAGAGGAAGGUAGAAUUCCCGGUGUAGCGGUGAAAUGCGUAGAGAUCGGGAGGAAUACCAGUGGCGAAGGCGGCCUUCUGGACUGACACUGACACUGAGGUGCGAAAGCGUGGGUAGCAAACAGGAUUAGAUACCCUGGUAGUC
rnacentral:rRNA from 1 species